AUUGAACGCUGGCGGCAUGCCUUACACGUGCAAGUCGAACGGUAACGGGCCUUCGGUUGCCGACGAGUGGCGAACGGGUGCGUAAUACAUCGGAACGUGCCCGAUCGUGGGGGAUAACGAGGCGAAAGCUUUGCUAAUACCUCAUACGAUCUACGGAUGAAAGCAGGGGACCGCAAGGCCUUGCGCGGGCGGAGCGGCCGCUGGCAGAUUAGGUAGUUGGUGGGAUAAAAGCUUACCAAGCCGACGAUCUGUAGCUGGUCUGAGAGGAUGAUCAGCCACACUGGAACUGAGACACGGCCCAGACUCCUACGGGAGGCAGCAGUGGGGAAUUUUGGACAAUGGGCGCAAGCCUGAUCCAGCCAUGCCGCGUGAAGGAUGAAGGCCUUCGGGUUGUAAACUGCUUUUAUAAGGAACGAAAAGCCUUCUUUUAAUACAGGAGGGUCAUGACGGUACCGUAAGAAUAAGCACCGGCUAACUACGUG
rnacentral:rRNA from 1 species